AUGUGGACACUCAAGGGACGAAAAGAUCAGUGGUCUGCUGUGGAGAACAGGGAUCCUUUGGCUUUCAGGCACAUGUUGUUUUUACGGAUGGAAGGUUCAUUUGGUCAUUCUCAGAUGGGCUCCAUAGCCGAUCAGAAAAUUCUGUCUCCAAGAUGUACCUCCUUAUCUCUUGUACAAGCCGUAGCCAAGCCAACAUCACCAAAAGUAUCAAGGAGAUGUGGAUCUAACCGACGGGGUUUGGUUCCAACAAGCCGGUUAUUACCGUAUAAUGAUAUUGCCUUGGCUAAAGAUGUUACAUGCUCGCUGUUGGUGUGGAACUGUCGACAGCUCCAAACUUUGAACGUGCACAUCGAGAUUGGUAAAGGAAGCUAUAAUUUAGAGAGUAUGCAAGAUGAAGGGUAUUUUGGACAUUUCGCAAAAUAUAUUGAAUUAUUGCAUGUGCAUGACAAUUGCUCCAUCACUACUAUCCCCCCAAUGUAUUGGUCACACUGGCAGAGACUAAAAUGA
rnacentral:rRNA from 1 species